AGCACGGUCAGCCCCGUGUCGUCCAUGUGCACCUGCGAGCCCAGCGGACACCAGCAGGCGCAGCUCGCUCGCUGAGCCACCUCCCGCAGCUGGAUGACGGCCACGCCCACCACGCGGUCCGCUCGGCCGAAACAGUAGUCCUUCACGCACACCUGCAGCUCGUAACACUCCGGACCGUCCUCGUUCCCCAGGAUGCUGUCGGUAAACACACAAAAAAAAAAAAAAAAAAAAAAAGACACGACAGUAGAAAUGAUUUACAUUAUGAAAAAAAUGCAAAAAUGUCAAAUAUAGAAGUAAAACACAAAGAAAGAGAGAACUGUUCUGAUGUGUGGUGCGGCCGAAUAUUUGAAUGAGCGCGAGUAACGAGUAGCUACGUUUGCGACAUUAGCUUUCGCUCGCUGGGUAAGCGUUAUAGCUUUACAUGUACUACGUUACCAAGUGCUCGAAAGGGCGUUUAACUCAAUACGGUGGAAAACGAAAAUAAAACACGGACAGAGAAUAAACUUUCCAGUCGAACAGUAAUUCUGGUUCGUCGAAUUCAUGCAGGGUGCCAAUAAUUAUGAUCCGCACCGUAUAAGACACACAAACUCCACCCGACCGCUUCGUUCCCUCCGUAGUUCGGUCGGAGUGAAGGAAAGGCCGCUAUACGAGCUCUUUUACUCACAAGUGGAAGGUCUCGUUGAAUUUCGGCGCCCAGCUGUUGUUCUUGGAUUUGGUGGCGAAUUUGCGUUUCUUGUCGCCGAGGUGCGGCCCGAUCAUCGUCACUUCCACGAAGGGACGGAACAUUCCGGACGUCUGCCACCUCAGAUCGUUCGCCGCCACCACUGAGCACGGAUCCCAAGCACAACAGGGUGAGUCGGGUUAAUGACAGGGGUUUAACGCAGCCGAAAAACGAGCUUCGAGCUACGGGCUACUUUAACUCGAGCUUGCAUUUUCACUUCUCUGAACGGUUUUGACGGAGUCUGGAGUUACUGUAUUCAAACGUGUCCAAUCUAAUGAAUGAAAAUAAUUACGAAUAAUUCCUUUUAAUGAUAACGCUGUGGAGCAUUAGCAUGUCGCUAACCAACAAUCCCAAGGUCAUGAACGUGUUAAAUCCACCUGAUCCGACGAAGAAGGUGAAGAAGAGGAAGAAGAAGAAAGCGAAGAGGUGAAGAAGAAAAGAAGAAGUGAAGAAGGUGAAGAAGAAGAAGAAGAAGAAGAAGAAGAAGAAGAAGAAGAAAGUGAAGAGGGUGAAGAAGAAGAAGAAGAAAGUGAAGAAGGUGAAGAAGAAGAAAGUGAAGAAGGUGAAGAAGAAGAAAGUGAAGAAGGUGAAGAAGAAGAAGAAGAAGAAGAAAAAGAAAGUGAAGAAGGUGAAGAAGAAGAAGAAGAAGAAAGUGAAGAGGAAGCAGAAGGUGAAGAAAGUGAAGAAUGUGAAGAAGUAGAAGAAUGUGAAGAAGUAGAAGAAAGGUGAAGAAAGUGAAAAGGACGGUGAAGGUGAAGAAGAAGAAGACGCAGCAGAAGGUGAAGAAGGUGAAGAAGAAGAAGGUGAAGGUGAAGAAGAAGGUGAAGAAAGUGAAAAGGAUGGUGAAGAA
ensembl:lncRNA